rnacentral:pre_miRNA from 14 species
UCCAAGCUGGAUAUAUUCCGAGGGGGAAAAGUUAUGGCGAUUAUGAGGAAUUGAACCAUAAGCGUAUAGCUUUUCCCCUUUGGCGUAUGUCGCUCCAACG